ACUAGGGAUCGGGCGAACUCAAAUUUAUGUGUCGGCUCGGCACCUUACGAGUAAUCAAAGUCUUUGGUUUCUGGUUUGAGUAUGGUCGCAAGGCUGAAACUUAAAGGAAUUGACGGAAGGGCACCACCAGGUNUGGAGCCUGCGGCUUAAUUUGACUCAACACGGGGAAACUCACCAGGUCCAGACAUAGCUAGGAUUGACAGAUUGAUAGCUCUUUCUUGAUUCUAUGG
rnacentral:rRNA from 1 species